rnacentral:miRNA from 1 species
UUCCUUCGAGCAUCGAGAGCA